rnacentral:rRNA from 1 species
GACGAACGCUGGCGGCGUGCUUAACACAUGCAAGUCGAGCGGUAAGGCCCUUUCGGGGGUACGACGAGCGGCGAACGGGUGAGUAACACGUGGGUGACCUGCCCUCAGCUCUGGGAUAAGCCUGGGAAACCGGGUCUAAUACCGGAUAUGACUCCAUGACGCAUGUUGUGGGGUGGAAAGCCUUGUGCGGCUGAGGAUGGGCCCGCGGCCUAUCAGCUUGUUGGUGGGGUGAGGCCUACCAAGGCGACGACGGGUAGCCGGCCUGAGAGGGCGACCGGCCACACUGGGACUGAGACACGGCCCAGACUCCUACGGGAGGCAGCAGUGGGGAAUCUUGCGCAAUGGGCGAAAGCCUGACGCAGCGACGCCGCGUGAGGGAUGACGGCCUUGG